rnacentral:rRNA from 1 species
AGUGACAGUACCUGGGGAAUCAGCCCCGGAGACCUACGUCCCAGCAGCCGCGGUAAUCCGAAGGUGGCUAGCGUUGUUCGGAAGUACUGGGCGUACAGGGACCGUAGGGGGUCCGGUAAGUCGGCUGUGAAAGUCCGGGGCUCAAUCUUUGGAUGCCUGUCGAUACUGCCGGACUGGAGUUCGGAAGGGGCGAGUGGAAUUCCCGGAGUAGCGGUGAAAUGCGCAGAUAUCGGGAGGAACACCUAUGGCGAAGGCAGCUCGCUGGGACGUUACUGACGCUGAGACGCGAAAGUGUGGGGAGCAAACAGGAUUAGAUACCCUGGUAGUCCUCGCCGUAAACGAUGGGCACUACGUGUGGGAGGUUUUGACUCCUCCCGUGCCGGAGGUAACGCAUUAAGUACCCCGCCUGGGGAGUACGACCGCAAGUCUAAA